rnacentral:rRNA from 1 species
GGGGGAUAUUGCACAAUGGAGGAAACUCUGAUGCAGCAACGCCGCGUGAGUGAUGAAGGUUUUCGGAUCGUAAAGCUCUGUUGCCAGGGAAGAACGUCUUCUGGAGUAACUGCCAGGAGAGUGACGGUACCUGAGAAGAAAGCCCCGGCUAACUACGUGCCAGCAGCCGCGGUAAUACGUAGGGGGCAAGCGUUGUCCGGAAUUAUUGGGCGUAAAGCGCGCGCAGGCGGCUGUUUAAGUCUGGUGUAUAAUCCUGGGGCUCAACUCCGGGUCGCACUGGAAACUGGAUGGCUUGAGUGCAGAAGAGGAGAGUGGAAUUCCACGUGUAGCGGUGAAAUGCGUAGAGAUGUGGAGGAACACCAGUGGCGAAGGCGACUCUCUGGGCUGUAACUGACGCUGAGGCGCGAAAGCGUGGGGAGCAAAC